AACCUUUACACUACGCGUAAGCGUGAUAAGGGGAUCCUAAGUGCUCAUGCAAAUGCAUGGGCUUUUGCCCACGGUAAAAACGUUGGCGAAUAAGUGGUGGACAAGACUGGUGCCAGCCGCCGCGGUAACCCCAGCGCCACAAGUGGGGAUCGUAUUUAUUUGGCCUAAAGCGUCCGUAGCCGGGCCGUCGAAUCUUUUGUGAAAUCGUUAAGCUUAACUUAACGGCGUGCAGGAGACACUCGCGGCCUAGGGACUGGGAGGCGUCGGAUGUAUGCCCGGGGGAGCAGUAAAAUGCUAUAAUCCCGGGUAGACAACCGGUGGCGAAGGCGUCCGACGAGAACAGGUCCGACGGUCAGGGACGAAAGCUAGGGGAGCAAUCCGG
rnacentral:rRNA from 1 species